rnacentral:sRNA from 1 species
ACACAGUUUAGCUGCUACAGUAAUCCCGGCUAAAUUUGUUCUCUAGUCUAUUGG